rnacentral:rRNA from 1 species
AUGAAGGUGUCCAUCCCCACCAUAUCAGGUGCUGCUACCUCUGAGACUUCGGCCCGGGCCGAAGACCACGAGAUGGAGGAUGCGGCAACUUCGAACCCAGUUCCGCCCCAUACUGUUAUCGAUCUUCCUGACGACGACGAGGAUGAAGAACCACUGGCACGCAAGAAGAGUCGGAAAACGCCCGCCAGUAAGGUGCCUCAGGACGUGACGGCGCCUGAGACUCUCACUGUGGAGGAAGAGAACACCACUCGACACACAGUGUCCUUCGCGAAUCCACUGUCGAGUGCUCAGCAGCCUUCCCUCUUCACGACUCACCACGUCCCAGAGGACCAAGCUGGUGCAGCGAAGGAGGCAAUACGCCAGGCGGGGCUCAUGAUGGAGCAGCUGAAGACCAUCCGGGAUGCGAGCCAGGCAGCUUAUGACGCCAGCUCUGCCCUCCAAAGCAAUGUCCAGAACUCCUGUGAUCUUGUGGCUCGCUACUCAGAGCUGGAACAGAAGCAUACUCAAGUCGAGCUGAGCUUGAAGCUGGUUCAGGAGAAGCUGGCAAAGGCAAAGGAGGAGACCGAAGGUAAGGUAAGGGAGGCCCAGCAGAAGAAAGACCUUGAGCUAGCUGAGAAGAUCAAGCUUGCUGACGAGAAGUUGGCUUCAGUCACCAAGCUCGAACAAGACAAUACCAAUCUGAAAACUGCUCUUGGGAUUGCCAACAAGGAGGUCAGUCGACUGAGAACUGACAAAGCUGCCCUGACCGACCAAGUCAGCAAAUUGACUGAGAAGAAAACUGAACUGGAAACCUUCCUGAGUGGCCUUGCCAAGAAGCUGUUUCUUAUGCUUGAAGAAUUUUGUCAAAACUUUGAAGAAGAAACCAGCUGA